UACGUAGGGAGCAAGCGUUGUCCGGAAUCAUUGGGCGUAAAGCGCGCGCAGGCGGCUCGAUCAGUCUGUUGUGAAAGUCAAAGGCUCAACCUUUGAAUGCCGAUGGAUACUGUCGAGCUAGAGUCCGGAAGAGGCGAGUGGAAUUCCUGGUGUAGCGGUGGAAUGCGCAGAUAUCAGGAGGAACACCAGCGGCGAAGGCGGCGCUCUGGGCCGGUACUGACACUGAGGAGCGAAAGCGUGGGUAGCAAACAGG
rnacentral:rRNA from 1 species